AGUAACAGCUAAUCGAAUUUAUAUUUCUUCAAAGCAUUAUAUUUUCUCACAGGACUUGAUAGGGAAUAAAAAAAAGAAAAUUAAGUGGGCGACAGUAUGCCAAAUUUUAAAACUCAUGGAACAUCUUAUAACCUGUUCUGUAAAGAGCAAAGUGAUAGUAAGGAUAACCAUGUAAAUGUAGGAAGUACAGGCUCAGUUUCUUGAAAAAGUCAUCAUAUUUUAAAAUUUUAAUAAACUGAAAAUAGUUCAAAGUAAUUUGAAGUUUGUUUGCUGGAUGAAUUUUUCAGGAAAUGUUAGCCCAUUAUCCUAUCAUAUUAUAUUUUUUGGUUGUAUACUAAUUAUGUUAUGAAAAGUUUAUGUUGUGUUUUUUGUUACAGAAGACAAGUAAUGGCUAUUGAUUUUCAGCGAUUUCCGAUAAUUACUGCCAGAGUUAUGACCCUUGAUCACUUUGAAAAAUCUUGUGGACGCUCUAUAGGCUAAAGUUAAUAUCCGAUUGAUUUUAAAUUUAUACACAGUGUUUAAGGUUAUGAGACGAAGAACCCUAUUGAUUUUCAGCGAUUUCCGAUAAUUACUGCCAGAGUUAUGGCCCUUGAUUCCUUUGAAAAAUCUUGUGGACGCUCUACAGGCUAAAGUUAAUAUCCGAUUGACUUUAAAUUUAUACACAGUAUUUAAGGUCACGAGACGAUGAAGCCUAUUGAUUUUCAGUGAUUUACGAUAAUUACUGUCAGAGUUAUGGCCCUUGGUCACUUUGAAAAAUCUUGUGGACGCUCUAGAGGCUAAAGUUAACAUCCGAUUGACUUUAAUUUAUACAGUGUUUAAGGUCAUGAGACGAAGAAGCCUAUUGAUUUUCAGUGAUUUCCGAUAAUUACUGCCAGAGUUAUGGCCCUUGGUCACUUUGAAAAAUCCUGUGGACGCUCUAGAGGCUAAAGUUAAUAUCCGAUUGACUUUAAAUUUAUACACAGUGUUUGAGGCCAUGAGAUGAAGAAUCAUAUAGAUUUUCAACGAUUUCGGAUAAUUACUGCCAAAGUUAUGUCCCUUGAUCACUAUGAAAAAUCUUGUGAUCGCUCUAGAGGCUAAAGUUAUCAUCCGAUUGACUUUAGAUUGAUACACAGAUUUUAAGGUCUUGAGACAAACAAGUAUAUUGAUUUUCAAUGAAUCUUUAUGACUUUUACAGCUAAAUCCAUGAUGUUUCGCAUACUAAACGUUAGCAUGGGCAGAAUUUUAAAAAAAACAAACAAAUUCUAAUGGUUUUCUGAUAAUGUUACUCUUAAUCAGAUUUUAAUGUAUUAUAAAUGUUUCAUUACCGAAAAAAGUAAAAAUAUGCGACAACUCUUGUUGACUGCCUGGACGAUAUAGCUGCUGUGGGCGUAUGUUUUGAUGCCUGGCAACCUAUCUUUUAUUACAUUGAGUAACCAUACGUAUAUAUUUACUUUCACCUUGCCUGACUUUAUGCGCAUGAGCUUUAUGUAUUUAUAAGAGCCCUGAAUUUGAUCCUGAAUUAUUGUUGAUAAAAGUUUCUACUACAUUGUUCUUUAUGUUUCCUGGUUGAAAUUGAAUAUUAAUAUUGUUUCACUGUUGUUUAUUUCUUUUGAUAUUUUCAAGUUAUAUGAACACCAAGCAGAAGAAACUGAUUUAUUGUGCAUUACAAAAUUCAUAUAUUAUUGUCAAGCUUAGCAUAUAAUAAGCUUGCUUUAAAGGGCCAAUCCCGAUAAUUUUUUGGAGAAUAAAACUGCUUAAUUUUGUGUUAAAAUCCCUUAAAAUUGUCUACCUAAGGGCCGAGCAACUAACUCAAUAUUUGUGAUACGUUUUCAAACAACUUAAACCCGUCAGUCUUCAUCUGGAAAUAGAGACCGGUGUCUCAAGAUGUAUUAUGCGGUAUCUGGAUAAAAUAAGACUUUUUUUUAUAAAAAUAAUGUGUUGGUGAAAUUUUCCUUUCGUUAUCAAGUACAGCACGUGGGUCGUGCACUGUAUAGACCUCUCAAGGAACGGGAAUCGAUCAUCAAGUCACCCAACGAAAAAAUUGACCCGAAUUCUUAAAAGGGUUACGUGCACGGAUAAGCAGUUUUGACGUUCACGUCCAAACGACUCAAUAUUUUGAGCUGAAAUUUUGAGACAAUGUAAAUACGCCACCCCUCUAUAUUUUGGCGCUUAAAUUUCAUACGUACUCGGACAUUUAUUUUUAAGUCUCUGUUCAAAUCGGGAUAGUCCCUUUAAUAUGUUUUUUUCAAUGUACUUACUUACACCAUCAUGAAAUUCAAACAGAGGUCAUGUUUACCUACCUGAUUGUCAAAGAAAUGGUUCUGUAUAAUUUUAAGUUAUGUAACAGAUGGAAUCAAAGACAUGAAAGCAUGGUCUAAUAAUUGGAAAAGUUCUCCUGAAAACCAAAAAAAGUACUUAUUGUCAAAGAGCCAAACAAACUGUUCCAAUUAAAAGCCGACCAAAGUGUGAAAAAGAAAGGAUCUCUUCCGCUCUAUUAAAACAGUUAGAUGCUCUUUAAAGUUUUGGUUAUUGAAAACUUUGAUACUUUUAAACAAUUAAUUGUAGUGGUGAGCUUUGAAGAUAAGCUUCAGAAAAUAUCAGACUGCGAUAUUGACAUUGCUGCUGUUGGGUUUUCCAGUGAUGUAAAGACAUCUUAACUUUAUACCCGCCUUUAUGUGCUAUAAUAUAUCAGUAAUUAAGUCAGUUGUCAUCUAGUUGUAUAUCUCCAUAUACAGUAGUAUACCAUGUCAGGACUAAGACUAGUAAUUAUUUCCCCUUAUUUCAUGAUGGACGAAUGUAGUGCGAGUUAUAAAUAGACAAUUUUUCCCUUAAUUUUUUUCUCCCCUCUUCCUGCAUUUUUGGGGUGACUUUUUGGUCUAGAAUUGGAGAAAAGGGAUCAAAUUUGCAAUUUCAUAGCAGUUUUGGGUAAUACUGAUGAUAUUACAGCGGAGGGAUAGGGGGUGUAAAGUGUCUUUCUGCAGAGCAAUCAUUGUGUCGGAAGUGAGAUUUUCACCCCUGUCAACUUCAAAUCCGUGAAGCAAAAAAUCUAAACGGUCAACCCCCUACAAAAUUAUGAUGAGGAGAUUGCCAAAUGUUGUUCCCAUUGUGCCUAUAAAGAUUGGAACCAACGGAAUGUUGAGCAAAAAGCUACAGCCUGUGAUGUUAGUCAUUUAACAUUGAAGUCAAUGGGCAAAUAAUUGCUAGUCUGAGUCCUGAUGAUAUAAAGAAGCAUGGCCGACUCGGGAUGUUGAUAUUUUUUCAACGGCUUAUUUCCUGAAGUUUUGAAUGGAAAGUGUCAGAAAUGGUGCCAGGGCAAUGUUUCAUAGAGUGGAAUGAUUGACCUCAACACAAGUAUUAAAAAAAAAGAAGCAAAACAGGUCUACAUCUCAAAACCUGAUCUCUUCCUGGACUGGCUUUAGGAGAAUGAUGAUGCAUAUCAAUUUCAUCCCUGAUCUCUAUGACACCUGUGGUUGAAGUGGAGGGCAAAUCAUAAUCAGUUUGGGUUCCAGCCCCGAGGACCUCUGUAAACUUUGCUUUUUGGUGAUGACUUAAUUUCCGAGCUUGAAAAGGACGCUUGUGUGUUUAUCAUGGCCUCUCAUAUUGGAAGAUAACAUUAAUGGCUUGUGUGUUGAUCGACGGUUGUGCAUAUCUCUUAGUCAGGAAAGUUGUAGGCACCAUCGCCAUUGUAAAUCAUUUGACAGGCCCUAGUGAACGAGGCGACCUAUGAUUGGUCAGCAAUGUAUCAGAUUCCAUACCGGGGGGUGGGGAUGAAAAAACUGUUGUAGUGUUACAUAAUCAGAUUAUUUCAACUUACUUAUCCUGUGGAAAUACAGCUAUAUAGGAGAUAUUUUGAAAUUCAUAGGCACUGCAUGUUUCAACAUUUUAGAUUUGACCACAAUUUGGCACUUGAAACUAUGUUAACAGAGAAAAACUGUGUGGUUUUCGAUGAAAGUGUUAAAAGUCUAAUAUUGCAUCAUGAUUACUGUUUUAAAGUAUUUUCGUGUUUGAUUUAUAUUGAAUUCAUCUCAUCUUUUUGAAGAAUGCAUUUAUGUUCAAAAAUAAAAAUGUUCUGUGGAAUUAAAAAUUCAUGUGCUUUUAAAUUAUCAGAUUCCAAACUGGGGGGUAGGGAUGAAAAAGCUGUUGUAGUGUUACAUAAUCAGAUUAUUUCAACUUACUUAUCCUAUGGAAAUACAGCUAUAUAGGAGAUAUUUUAAAAUUGAUAGGCACUGCAUGUUUCAACAUUUUAGAUUUGACCACAAUUUGGCACUUGAAACUACGUUAACAGAGAAAAACUGUGUGGUUUACGAUGAAAGUGUUAAAAAGUCUAAUAUUGCAUCAUGAUUACUGUUUUAAAGUAUUUUCGUGUUAGAUUUAUAUUGAAUUUAUCUCAUCUUUUUACAGAAUGCAUUUAUGUUCAAAAAUAAAAAUGUUCUGUUUAAUUCAAAAUUCAUGUGCUUUUAAAUUUCUGUCUGAAAUUCCGCAGUUUUCUGAUGUAUUAUAGUGUUUGCAGAAUGCCGCACAGCUCAUCUGAAAAUGCAUAGAUUUUCAUAUUCUUUGGCCAGGGAAUUGCAUAUAUGUUUGUUUAUUAGAUAACAACAGAUUUGUUUAAACUGCAGAAACAUGUGAGGUAUAUAGGACUAAGACUAGUAAUUAUUUCCCCUUAUUUCAUGAUGGACGAAUGUAGUGCGAGUUAUAAAUAGACAAUUUUUCCCUUAAUUUUUUUCUCCCCUCUUCCUGCAUUUUUGGGUUGACUUUCUGGUCUAGAAUUGGAGAAAAGGGAUCAAAUUUGCAAUUUCAUAGCAGUUUUGGGUAAUACUGAUGAUAUUACAGCGGAGGGAUAGGGGGUGUAAAGUGUCUUUCUGCAGAGCAAUCAUUGUGUCGGAAGUGAGAUUUUCACCCCUGUCAACUUCAAAUCCGUGUAGCGAAAAAUCUAAACGGUCAACCCCCUACAAAAUUAUGAUGAGGAGAUUGCCAAAUGUUGUCCCCAUUGUGCCUAUAAAGAUUGGAACCAACGGAAUGUUGAGCAAAAAGCUACAGCCUGUGAUGUUACAGAAUUCCAACUGCCAAGGGAUCUUUUACGUGCAUGCCAAUAUGUACACGGGACCUCGGUUUUUCGUCCCAUCCGAACGACUAGACAGAUGUCCUUGUCAGACAUAAAUUUGAACACCCCACGGGAAUUAAAUAGGAAAAAUAGCAAGGUGUUCCUCUUUUUUUAUUACGCGCGGAUUUUAAUAUUUUGUUGACAUUUUAUAAAGAAGAAAACGAUUCUUAUUCCGGACGUUCUGCAUUCAUUUGCUGUCGUAUAAACAACAAAGACACGUAAUGCCGACUAUUGUGAAUUUGAUGCCGAAGCAGGAGUUAUUUUGUAGGAAUGUUACCGAGAUAAAUUUGAUUACCGUACGGGAAUUAAAUAUGAAAAAUAGCGAGGUUCGCCUAUUUUUAUUACGUACGACAUUUGAAAAUUUUAUUGACAAGUGAUUGACACGUUCAAUAAUUGCCGUUAUCUAGUUUUUAGCUAUUAUAGUGAGAACUGCCAGCUCUUUAUCUAAUCCCAUAAUGUAUCUUUAAGUCAGUUGUACUUUAGUUGAAUAUCGCCAUGUACAGUAGUAUAAAAUGGCAGUAAUAAAUUAGGGAGGUUGGAUGGCCAAAUGGUUAGCGCGUGCGCGCUGUGUCACAAGGUCUGUCAUUGAGUCAACUGCCAUGGUUUCAAUUCUCCGGUUGUACGUGACAAGGAGUGGCAUCGCCUUUCUAACCUCGUCGGUUUUCUCUGGGUCCUUCGGUUCCUUCCACUGCUAAAGACCCCUAUGCGCAAGCGAAUUAUUGAAAUGAAAUGUUCUCUCUCGCUCAGUAAUAAAUUUAGUUAUUAUCUUGUUGUAUAUCACCAUGUACAAUAGUAUAACAUGCCAGUAAUAAAGUCAUCUUGAUAAUAUGUAGUAAUUAACUCAGUUAUUAUGUAGUGAUAUGUAAACCAGCAUGUUAUUGUUACUUUCAGAUGAUCUUUUUUAUUUCUGUGUA